rnacentral:sRNA from 1 species
GGAUGGAUCACCUCCUUUCUAAGGAAACCGAUAAAAUCAAUCAUCUUCAGUUUUGAAAGACUUAGGAUAACUAAGUUUUUCUUCGUGACUUCACGAAGGGCCUAUAGCUCAGUUGGUUAGAGCACACGCCUGAUAAGCGUGAGGUCGGUGGUUCAAGUCCAUUUAGGCCCACCAGAGUUAUAGGUGUCGUAAGAACACAAAUUCUUUGAAAAUUAGGUAAAUAAUAGUUAUUUUUCCGGAACAUUAAAGGAAAUAAGAGCGCACAGUGGAUGCCUAGGCACCAAGAGCUGAUGAAGGACGCAAUUAACGGCGAUACGCUACGGGGAGCUGUAAAUAAGUGUAGAUCCGUGGAUUUCCGAAUGGGGCAACCUACUAUAAGUAGUUAUAGUAUCAAUUUAUUAGGUAACUAAUUGAUUGAAAGGAACGCAGUGAACUGAAAUAUCUAAGUAACUGUAGGAAAAGAAAGUAAUAACGAUUCCGGUAGUAGUGACGAGCGAACCCGGAACAGCCGGAUACCAAUUUCUAGUUAUCAAAUUUUAAUUAACUCGAAAUAGUUGGAAAACUAUAUCCUAGAAGGUGAAAAUCCUGUAGAGGUAGAUUAAAAUCUAGGGUAUCCUUAAGUACGGCGAGACACGAGAAAUCUUGUCGGAAGAUAGGAGGACCAUCUCCUAAGGCUAAAUACUCCUUGGUGACCGAUAGUGAACUAGUACCGUGAGGGAAAGGCGAA